rnacentral:rRNA from 1 species
GGGGGGGGGUGCUAUAAUGCAGUCGAACGAGUUCUCGUUGAUGAUCGGUGCUUGCACCGAGAUUCAACAUGGAACGAGUGGCGGACGGGUGAGUAACACGUGGGUAACCUGCCCUUAAGUGGGGGAUAACAUUUGGAAACAGAUGCUAAUACCGCAUAGAUCCAAGAACCGCAUGGUUCUUGGCUGAAAGAUGGCGUAAGCUAUCGCUUUUGGAUGGACCCGCGGCGUAUUAGCUAGUUGGUGAGGUAAUGGCUCACCAAGGCGAUGAUACGUAGCCGAACUGAGAGGUUGAUCGGCCACAUUGGGACUGAGACACGGCCCAAACUCCUACGGGAGGCAGCAGUAGGGAAUCUUCCACAAUGGACGCAAGUCUGAUGGAGCAACGCCGCGUGAGUGAAGAAGGCUUUCGGGUCGUAAAACUCUGUUGUUGGAGAAGAAUGGUCGGCAGAGUAACUGUUGUCGGCGUGACGGUAUCCAACCAGAAAGCCACGGCUAACUACGUGCCAGCAGCCGCGGUAAUACGUAGGUGGCAAGCGUUAUCCGGAUUUAUUGGGCGUAAAGCGAGCGCAGGCGGUUUUUUAAGUCUGAUGUGAAAGCCCU